UACGUAGGGGGCAAGCGUUGUCCGGAAUCAUUGGGCGUAAAGAGCGUGUAGGCGGUCCGUUAAGUCGGCUGUGAAAGUCCAAGGCUCAACCUUGGGAUGCCGGUCGAUACUGCCGGACUAGAGUUCGGAAGAGGAGUGUGGAAUUCCUGGUGUAGCGGUGAAAUGCGCAGAUAUCAGGAGGAACACCAAUGGCGAAGGCAGCUCGCUGGGACGGUACUGACGCUGAGACGCGAAAGCGUGGGGAGCAAACAGG
rnacentral:rRNA from 1 species